ensembl:snRNA U6 U6 spliceosomal RNA
CAUUUCAACAGGCAAAAAUAGAACACUUUAAUAAAAACAAUACAGAGAAGAUUAGCACUGCCUUUGUGCAAGGAUAACACUCAAAUUCACAAAGCAUUCCAUAAAAAA